rnacentral:rRNA from 1 species
UUUAAAGAGAGUUUGAUCCUGGCUCAGGACGAACGCUGGCGGCGUGCCUAAUACAUGCAAGUCGAACGAACGGAGGAAGAGCUUGCUCUUCCAAAGUUAGUGGCGGACGGGUGAGUAACACGUGGGCAACCUGCCUGUAAGUUGGGGAUAACUCCGGGAAACCGGGGCUAAUACCGAAUGAUAAGAUGUGGCGCAUGCCACGCCUUUGAAAGAUGGUUUCGGCUAUCGCUUACAGAUGGGCCCGCGGUGCAUUAGCUAGUUGGUAGGGUAAUGGCCUACCAAGGCAACGAUGCAUAGCCGACCUGAGAGGGUGAUCGGCCACACUGGGACUGAGACACGGCCCAGACUCCUACGGGAGGCAGCAGUAGGGAAUCUUCCGCAAUGGACGAAAGUCUGACGGAGCAACGCCGCGUGUAUGAAGAAGGUUUUCGGAUCGUAAAGUACUGUUGUUAGAGAAGAACAAGGAUAAGAGUAACUGCUUGUCCCUUGACGGUAUCUAACCAGAAAGCCACGGCUAACUACGUGCCAGCAGCCGCGGUAAUACGUAGGUGGCAAGCGUUGUCCGGAUUUAUUGGGCGUAAAGCGCGCGCAGGCGGUCUUU